rnacentral:lncRNA from 1 species
CCCAUCGGUACGGUAUCGGUUCGGCACCGGUACCGUACCAUUACCGGAGCCGACCGGUACGUCGGUACCAUCGGUACCGCGAACCUUGAUUAUUUGUAUGCAAAAUGCCAUGCAUGGAUAUUAAAACAAAAAUACUAAAACAAGGUAUUCAUUCCUUAUCUCAUUCUUGAUUAUAUCGCGAUGGAAGGAUCUCUUUUUUCAUUUUUUGCAAAUAACUAUUAAAUUUUUCAUACAUAAUAUGAUUAAUAGAUUCAAUGGAUUUAGGUAAUGAUUACUCAUUUGAUAUGUCAAUACAUAAGCACCUGCUCCAUUGAGUCAAUAGAGAGAUUCCAUCUACCGACACAAGUUAGUCAACUCCAUUGAGUCUCUGCACCUGCUCUUUCCUUUUAUUCUAGUUUUAUAAACCCUUGCUUUGUCAAAACAAAGUUUUGGCUCAAGACAUCAUACAUAUGUGCAUAUACAAAACAGCCAGAUAAUUAAUCCAUCCAUCACUAUUACAGCUGAGGUUAGUAAACCAGAAAAAGUCAGAAUUUCACCUGAGGGUAGAAAGGAUGAGCAUUAUGCUUCAGUUUAUCCAAGAGUCCUAGAAGAAUUGGAGCCUACAAUAAUAUGACAAAGUCAUGAUAUUAAUCCCAGCACUAGCCAUAUAGCUUAUAUGGAUGUCCGAUCAAACAAAAACAAAUAAUGAAACUAGUCACAUUUAUAAAUUAAAAAACUCAGUAAAACAUGUCAGGAACCUUCUUUGGCUCACAAGGCUUGAUAGAUUCUUUUCUAAUUUCAUUCAGUACGAUAUAUGCCUUCACUAAGUUCAGGAAAAGUAUUCAGUUCUCAUUCCAUACGUUAAAAGAAAAUGAACAAGGUAUUGCCAUAUGUCCACCCUUGAGCAACUUGCUGAAGAUAUAAAAAGAAUCAAAUUCUCAACAAAUAUUAUACUCCACAAUGAUUGAAAUCACUGAUACUUCAAGUAAAAUUAAAAUUGUUAAUAUUCACUCUCUCUUGUGGUAUUGGUAACUUCAAUCAUUAAAAAUUCAGCAUNNN